rnacentral:rRNA from 1 species
UACGUAGGGUGCAAGCGUUGUCCGGAAUUAUUGGGCGUAAAGCGCACGUAGGCGGCUUAGCAAGUCGGAAGUGAAAUCCCACGGCUCAACCAUGGAAGUGCUUUCGAAACUGCUGAGCUUGAGUACGAAAGAGGAUCGCGGAAUUCCCGGUGUAGAGGUGAAAUUCGUAGAUAUCGGGAGGAACACCAGUGGCGAAGGCGGCGAUCUGGGUCGAUACUGACGCUGAGGUGCGAAAGCGUGGGGAGCAAACAGG